rnacentral:rRNA from 1 species
CGCAAGGGGAGCGGCAGACGGGUGAGUAACGCGUGGGAAUCUACCCUUUUCUACGGAAUAACGAAUGGAAACGUGUGCUAAUACCGUAUGAGCCCUUCGGGGGAAAGAUUUAUCGGGAAAGGAUGAGCCCGCGUUGGAUUAGCUAGUUGGUGGGGUAAAGGCCUACCAAGGCGACGAUCCAUAGCUGGUCUGAGAGGAUGAUCAGCCACAUUGGGACUGAGACACGGCCCAAACUCCUACGGGAGGCAGCAGUGGGGAAUAUUGGACAAUGGGCGCAAGCCUGAUCCAGCCAUGCCGCGUGAGUGAUGAAGGCCCUAGGG